rnacentral:rRNA from 1 species
AGAGUGAACGCUGGCGGCAGGCCUAAUACAUGCAAGUCGAACGGCAGCACGGCAGAGCUUGCUCUGUGGGUGGCGAGUGGCGGACGGGUGAGGAAUACAUGGGAAUCUGCCCAGUCGUGGGGGAUAACGUAGGGAAACUUACGCUAAUACCGCAUGCGCCCUUCGGGGGAAAGCCGGGGACCUUCGGGCCUGGCGCGAUUGGAUGAGCCCAUGUCGGAUUAGCUAGUUGGCGGGUAACGCCACCAAGGCGACGAUCCGUAGCUGGUCUGAGAGGAUGAUCAGCCACACUGGAACUGAGACACGGUCCAGACUCUAGGGAGCAGCAGCAGGGAAUAUUGGACAAGUGGGCGACAAGCCUGAUCCAGCCAUCGCCGCGUAGAGUGAAAGAAGGCCUUAGGGUUAUAAAGUCUUACUUUGUACGGAAA